CUCUUUCUCGAUUCAGUGGAUGGUGGUGCAUGGCCGUUCUUAGUUGGUGGAGUGAUCUGUCUGGUUAAUUCCGAUAACGAACGAGACUCUCCCCUGCUAACUAGUCGGUUGGAUCUUGAUCAGUGGGUUGAGUGCCGAGUAACUCUCGCUGUGCGUGGUGUGCGUCUCGUUCCUCACGGUUCGUUGCGUGCUCAUGUGUGGCGUUGGAUGCCUUGGAUCACACUGCACCCCAAGUCCGCCGCUUUGCUAUAACUCUUCUUAGAGGGAUUCACGGCACUGAAGCCGUAAGAGACUGAGAGCAAUAACAGGUCUGUGAUGCCCUUAGAUGCUCUGGGCCGCACGCGCGCUACAAUGCCGGGCACAGCAGGUGUUUCUCCUGCUCCGACAGGAGCGGGUAACCCUCUGAAAGCCAGUGUUCUUGCAAGUGCUUCCUCCCUCGUGGAGUUGCACAGAGGCGUGCUUGGGCCUGGGACUUGCAAUUCUUUCCCACCAACGAGGAAUGCCUAGUAGCGGCGGGUCACUGAGCCCGCUGUGACUCAGUCCCUGCCCUUUGUACACACCGCCCGUCGCUACUACCGAUUGGGUGUACCAGUGAGAGCCUUGGACUGGCGUCCGUUGUUGCUCGCAAGAGUGACAAGCGGGUCCGACGGAAAGAGGUCCGAACUGGUGCACUUAGAGGAAGUAAAAGUCGUAACAAGGUUUCCGUAGGUGAACCUGCG
rnacentral:rRNA from 1 species